UACGUAGGGCGCAAGCGUUGUCCGGAAUUAUUGGGCGUAAAGAGCUCGUAGGCGGCCUGUUACGUCUGCUGUGAAAUCCCGGGGCUUAACCCCGGGCGUGCAGUGGAUACGGGCAGGCUGGAGGCAGGCAGGGGAGAACGGAAUUCCCGGUGGUAGCGGUGAAAUGCGCAGAUAUCGGGAGGAACACCGGUGGCGAAGGCGGUUCUCUGGGCCUGUACUGACGCUGAGGAGCGAAAGCGUGGGGAGCGAACAGG
rnacentral:rRNA from 1 species